CACGUAGGGUGCAAGCGUUGUCCGGAAUUAUUGGGCGUAAAGAGCUCGUAGGCGGCCUGUCACGUCGACUGUGAAAACCUAGGGCUCAACCCUGGGCCUGCAGUCGAUACGGGCAGGCUUGAGUGUGGUAGGGGAGACUGGAAUGCCAGGUGUAGCGGUGAAAUGCGCAGAUAUCUGGCAGAACACCGGUGGCGAAGGCGGGUCUCUGGGCCAUUACUGACGCUGAGGAGCGAAAGCGUGGGGAGCGAACAGG
rnacentral:rRNA from 1 species